GGCACUAGGGCCCUUUCUGACAGGCUCGCAGCAACCAGAUUUGUUCCCUGGCUGCCCACCUCCACGUCCUCCACCCUGGGAGAGCUGAGUUCGUUUUCCUUUGACUGUUUUUUUAAUGCUUCCCUCAGGAGGCAGGCCACAGUCUUCCUGCACCACCCUCACGGGCUCUCACUGCUGGAGCAAUGAUUACUCACAGAUUUACCCAAGGAGAGUGUGUACUUGGAAUGGCUGUCCGUGUGUUCCCUGUGCACACACACACGCAUACCCGCACAUACACUGUGGUGACCUGACACACACACUUCCGUGAUCUCACACACUCGUGCACACACACACACUGCCCUGAUCUCACACAAACACACAAACACUGCCCUGAUGUCACACACACACACUACCCUGAUCUCACACACUCAUGCACACACACACACACUGCCCUGAUCUCACACACACACACUACCCUGAUCUCACACAAUCAUGCACACAUACACACACUUCCCUGACCCUAUCACUCUGCACAUUGGAGCUAAGCUCAUGAAGGCUGCUCAUGCAUUUUAUUUGGCAAGUCUCUCUCACAUCUUUAAUCACACUAGCCUGCCCACUGCCAAUCAAUAAAGAUUAGGAAAUCGAUUGCUAACUUACUCUUGGGUUAGAUAAUAAAAUUGUUUGAAACAUGCACCUGGAGGAAUUUAUCUGUGAAGAGUCCUUUCAGAGUUUGUUUCAAGCUUUGCAAGUCUCUCAUGGCUCUGAGGUCGGGGAGGCUGUGAGGGAUCCUCCACGCCCAGCAGACGUGGAAGGAGCCGACGUUCUUACGGGAGAUGGACAGACGGUCAGCAUGUGAAUAGUCCCCUGCAUGCAGGUGAGGACUGGGGCAGUGCAGAGCCGCAGCAGGGAUGGGCUAUGCCUGGGAGCCGCCAGCUCUGGAUCAGGUGGCCAGGGACGGUCAUGCUGAAGAGGAAGGCUCCAGUGAAGCUCUGGAAGAAUGUUCUGGUGCCUGUAUGUACAAAGGCCCCCCUAAUUCAGGACCUGGCCCUGUACAGAUGAGGAGCAGGAAGGAGCCAGUGUAACUGAGGCCAGUGUGGCUGCAGCAAGGGGCUGGAGGCGUGAGAAGAAACAGAAAAGAACGGAGGGCCAUUUCUGCCUCCCCAGUCCGGAUCAUCCUCCUCCUCCACCCCAGAGCCCCAGGGUGCUGAGCCUUGCGCCCCUGCCCCUCAAGGCUAUGGAAUGUCAUUGCCACUCAGCGUGAAGGUUCUGGAGGGGACCUCAAACACCAGGCCCCUCUGCCCAGAGAGCCCCAGUGGACCCGCUGAGCCAGGGACCUGCUCCUUGGAGCCAACCACCUUGUGACUUGUGAAUUGUGUUGAGUCCCGUUUCCUUUUUCCCUUUUGUUUAUUGCUUUGUGUAUCUGGCAGCUUUAUCCCAAAGCUGCUCUCACGUGGUCCCUCUGUCCCAUCCUGCCAUUUUCCUCCCUCUGGGGCCCCUUGCAUGGGAGACUGGGAGCAGCGUCCACCCGCCACCCAGCAGAGGCUCAGGUCCUGGAGUUAAAAGAGAAGCACAGGCAGGGGACGCUCUCCAAACUGCCUUCAGCCCGCAUCUUUGAACUCUGCAGUAGGAAGACUCCUGGGCCCCCAUGUCCCCAUGCAUAUGCACCUGCAUGCAUGUGACACACUUCUCGGCCCAUGGAGAAGACUGUCCGCACGGGGGUGUGAGCUGCCCAGCACCCACUGAUCAAUUGCUGCAUUCCCAGCUGCCUUUAAGCUGGCAUGGGGCGCCCUCUGAGGCACGCCCAGCCCCUGGGGCCUAGACUCUGGUGUUCUCUAGGAACUGUCUAUCUCUGUGUGUGGGAGCCACAGACUUGGGCUUUCAGACCCCCACAAUGGAUGGCUCAGGCCUAUGGCUCACCCCCAGCAUCUGUGACCACCACCACUGCCCACCUUCUUUGCCUAAGCAUUACUUCUGGGGGGCAGUUCUUCACUUAUGUGUGCAAGCCAGCCUUCUAGAAAACUCUUUGCUCUCAUGACCAGGCAGGCCUUGCACAGUCCAGAUGGUGAAGCCCAGUUCCUACCUUCCAGUGAGGAGCACCUGACCCUUCAGGGGCGAUAGACGGGGCCCUGCACAGAUGGGACAGGACAGGUGGGGUGCACAGAGGAUGGCAGGUGCCCUCUGAGAGGCAGGGUCGGGGCAGGUCGGGCAGGAGCCUGGCAUCUGUGGCUGACUGUUUGGCCCCUCAAGGCCUGUUUUGCUCACAGUUUUGCUUCCUCCUUGCUCUCUGUUUUCCCUGCCACCUGAACUUGGUUGCAUGCUGCUUUCUGUCCAUUGCCCUCAGCCUCUCACCUCAGUCAUGACCCUUAAGCCAGCACCUCCCCCAUGCGUCUUACUCUGAGGUUUCCCAGGAGCAUGAGCCUCCUCCAGUGUCAUUGCGGCUGCUUUGAUCUCCUUAAUGGUUUUGCUUGAGUGUGGAUUCAUAUUCAGACUCUUUUAGGGACACAAAGACCCCCAAAGUGGAUGAAUGCCCUAUGGAGGCAGAUGCCCAGUUGGGGGCCCGAGGUCUGGCUGGCCUGUCCUCCCUGCCCAGGGUUUGCUGAACACCCCAGCCACAUGCUCCAGGCACACACCGAAGCUUCAGCUCAAGAUUCACCUCGGAGGAGGGCAUCUAGUCCAAGCCACUUCGUCUAAGAGGCGACCAAGGUGGCCAGGACUUACUUGCCAUGAGACCUUGGCAAGUGGACAAGUGCUGAGAGUGGUGGGAGGUGACAGGCUUCUCUACCAGCACUGGCAAGCACUUAAUCCAAGCCCCGAGGCUCCAGCUGCAAACUGGGACGGGAAUCUGAUGACACCCACCCUAGAGGGAUGGGGGUAAAUGUAGACGACAUAAUUUCCAUAUGUCUGCAUUGAGCGUUCACAUACAUGAGCGUCCUCAGAAGCAUUAUCUCCUCAUGCUUCUCCAAGGAAUGUGCCCUUUUCUUAACCCUGGUUGACUGAGUCCUACCGAGGAAGGAAGGGUUUCAGGCCACACCCCAGGGAUAGCGCUGGAUGCCCCCAGCCAGGCCAAGGUGGUCAGAUUUCCUUGCAAGAGUUUGAGCAAAGACACAGAGAUUGAAUUAGACUGAGCUGGGCCUGGAGGCUUGAGGUCCUGUCGACGAGGAGAGCGAUAUCUCAGUGUAUGAAUCUGUGGGUUUUCUGUGUGCCCUUGCAGUCCUGGGGACCCUCAUGGCCCUUGGUGAGCCCACAUUGAAGGAGAAGAACCAAGAGGCGGCAGAGAAUCUAGAUUCAGGCUGCAGAAAGUCUUGCUACUGCAGAGGUGAGACGAGGCCAGGGCAGGAAGGGAGCAGGGGUGGGGUGCAGGACCCUGAGUCCCCUAGAGGCCACGGUAGGACAUCAGCAGCACCAGGGGGAGUCACCAAAGCUAAGUGCCAAGAUGCGGUCGACUGAGGACCUGCUCCUGGUGCCCGCCCCUUCAGCCCAGAGACGGUGUGUGGUCCGUCUCCACCCAGCACAACCGUCCUAAAUACCUGAAUGAGUUUCCUUGAGCUCCUGCAGCAGAGACCCAUAAAAUGCUUAAAGGAGCAGAAAUCUACUCCCUUGCUGAUCUGGAGCCCAGAAGAAGAAAGUACUGGUGGCCUCUGGGGAUCCAGAAAGGACUGGUGGCCUCCAGGUGUCCAAGAGUCUUCUCUUCAACGAACAUGGUGAGGGGGAGCAUUGUGCUGGGUUGAUGAGUGUCCCCCAAACCAACUUCCACUCAGAAGCCCAAAAUAUGACCUUGUUUGGAGACAGGGUCUUUGCACACGUAACUAGUUAAGAUGAAGCCAUGCUGCAUUAGGCCAGGGCCCUGUGUCCAGGGCCUUCCCUGUGAGGUGGCCGCCAGGAGGCCGACCUCAGGGACACAAGGACUGGAAUGUGGGGGUCUUUGGAGAGGCAUGACGCCCCCUCUGUGAGUGGACAGACAUCAAGAAUGAAGGGAGCCCUCAACGGGGAUGGAGCAGCCCCUGAGACCUGAGGGUCCCACCCUGGGACAAAGGUGCCCUGAGCUCAAGCCAGGACACCCAGCAGCUGCCGGCCAGGCUGUGCUUCCCCCACAGCCUCUCCACACCCUCGCUGUGUCUUCUGUAAGAUGAGGUCCCCUCCAUUACCCUGGGCCAGGGAUCUCAAAACGGAAGGCCGCCAACCAGUCAGCGGCCAGGGGCUGGAGCCCAUGGUUUCCCAUGGCUCCCACUAGGACACUUGCCAGAGAGGGGGUGGGUGAGCUGGUUCCCAUGGAGACAGGCUCAGGAUCCCCAGAGGCCACCAGUCCUUUCUUCGUCUGACCUGAAGCAAGAGCAAGGCCAGGGGCUUACAGGCUGACCGUGUCUGCCUCCGUCUCAAGGGCUUAGACUGAGUGAGACUGGCAGAGGCCCUCCAGGUCACUCCCAUUGUUUCACAGAUGAGGAAACCGAGGCCUACCGGGAGGGAGGGCCUUCCGACAAGUCACGGAACUGAUCGGGGGAGAGCUGGAUGCCUGCUACACCGUGGCUCUGCUGUCUCCCGUGGAAACCCGGGCCUCUGUUCGAGCCUGAAGUGGCCUCUCUGCACCAGGCUGCUGGGAGACCUGCAGUCACCAAUGGCAACGUCACUCUUGCAACAGCCAGUGGG
rnacentral:lncRNA from 1 species